rnacentral:rRNA from 1 species
GACGUAGGGAGCUAGCGUUGUUCGGAAUUACUGGGCGUAAAGCGCACGUAGGCGGCUUUGUAAGUUAGAGGUGAAAGCCCGGGGCUCAACUCCGGAAUUGCCUUUAAGACUGCAUCGCUUGAAUCCGGGAGAAGGUGAGUGGAAUUCCGAGUGUAGAGGUGAAAUUCGUAGAUAUUCGGAAGAACACCAGUGGCGAAGGCUGGCUCACUGGA